rnacentral:rRNA from 1 species
UACGUAGGGUGCGAGCGUUAAUCGGAAUUACUGGGCGUAAAGUGUGCGCAGGCGGCCGCGCAAGUCGAGUGUGAAAGCCCCCGAGCUUAACUUGGGAAUUGCGCUCGAAACUACGUGGCUGGAGUGUGGCAGAGGAAGGUGGAAUUCCACGUGUAGCGGUGAAAUGCGUAGAGAUGUGGAGGAACACCAAUGGCGAAGGCAGCCUUCUGGGCCAACACUGACGCUCAUGCACGAAAGCGUGGGAGCAAACAGG